rnacentral:rRNA from 1 species
UACAAUGGCAGGUACAGAGGGAUGCUACCGGGCGACCGGAUGCGGAUCUCGAAAGCCUGUCCCAGUUCGGACUGGAGUCUGCAACCCGACUCCACGAAGUUGGAUUCGCUAGUAAUCGCGCAUCAGCCAUGGCGCGGUGAAUACGUUCCCGGGCCUUGUACACACCGCCCGUCAAGCCAUGGGAGCCGGGGGCGCCUGAAGUCCGGGACCGCGAGGACCGGCCUAGGGCGAAACUGGUAACUGGGGCUAAGUCGUAACAAGGUACC